UACAAGUACCCGUGAGGGAAAGUUGAAAAGCACUUUGAAGAGAGAGUUAAAGAGGACGUGAAACCGAUGAGAUGGAAACGGACAGAGCUAGCGUAUCUGGCUUGCAUUCAGCUUGCGCAGUCGCUACCGAUGAAUCGCUGAUCUCCAGAUUGGGACUGUUGACUAGUCGGUUGGUGGCUGUGUUGUGCAUUUGCAAGUGGAGUGCGUCGAGGCAUCCGGUGCGGCGGAAUGAACUUGGUUUUGAGGCCAGCUUGCUGGUACCCGGACUCGAGGGAUUUCUGUUCAUGCUGGGUUGCAUCUGUGUGGACAAGGCUUUGCGGGCUGAGUUGGGUGCCGAGCUGGAUGUCGGUGGCGGUCGCUUGCGACACGUACUGUGCCGCCAGUUCGGUCCUGGCUUAGCUCACUCCUCUGUUCAAUCUCGGCGUAAAAGCUGGUCAUCUUUCCGACCCGUCUUGAAACACGGACCAAGGAGUUUAUCGUGUGCGCGAGUCAUUGGGCGUUGAAAACCCAAAGGCGCAAUGAAAGUGAACGUAUCCGCUAGGAGCCAACGUGCGAUCCUGGUCACUGCGGUGGCCAGGCGCAGCAUGGCCCCAUCCUGACUGCUUGCAGUAGGGUGGAGGAAGAGCGUACGCGAUGAGACCCGAAAGAUGGUGAACUAUUCCUGAGCAGGAUAAAGCCAGAGGAAACUCUGGUGGAAGUCCGAAGCGAUUCUGACGUGCAAAUCGAUCGUCUGACUUGGGUAUAGGGGCGAAAGACUAAUCGAACCAUCUAGUAGCUGGUUCCUUCCGAA
rnacentral:rRNA from 1 species